rnacentral:rRNA from 1 species
UACAGAGGUGGCAAGCGUUGUUCGGAAUUACUGGGCGUAAAGGGUGCGCAGGCGGCUCCGCAUGUCGGGCGUGAAAGCCCCGGGCUUAACCCGGGAAUGGCGUCCGAAACUAUGGAGCUGGAGUGUGGCAGAGGGAGGUGGAAUUCCACGUGUAGCGGUGAAAUGCGUAGAGAUGUGGAGGAACACCGAUGGCGAAGGCGGCAUCCUGGACCGGCAUUGACGCUGAGGAGCGAAAGCCAGGGGAGCAAACGGG